AUUGAACGCUGGCGGCAUGCUUUACACAUGCAAGUCGAACGGCAGCACGGGCUUCGGCCUGGUGGCGAGUGGCGAACGGGUGAGUAAUAUAUCGGAACGUACCCAGAAGUGGGGGAUAACGUAGCGAAAGUUACGCUAAUACCGCAUACGAUCUAUGGAUGAAAGCAGGGGACCGCAAGGCCUUGUGCUCCUGGAGCGGCCGAUAUCUGAUUAGCUAGUUGGUGAGGUAAAGGCUCACCAAGGCGACGAUCAGUAGCUGGUCUGAGAGGACGACCAGCCACACUGGAACUGAGACACGGUCCAGACUCCUACGGGAGGCAGCAGUGGGGAAUUUUGGACAAUGGGCGCAAGCCUGAUCCAGCAAUGCCGCGUGAGUGAAGAAGGCCUUCGGGUUGUAAAGCUCUUUUGUCAGGGAAGAAACGGUAAAGGCUAAUAUCCUUUGCUAAUGACGGUACCUGAAGAAUAAGCACCGGCUAACUACGUG
rnacentral:rRNA from 1 species